rnacentral:rRNA from 1 species
GACGAACGCUGGCGGCGUGCUUAACACAUGCAAGUCGAACGGAAAGGCCCUGCUUUUGUGGGGUGCUCGAGUGGCGAACGGGUGAGUAACACGUGAGUAACCUGCCCUUGACUUUGGGAUAACUUCAGGAAACUGGGGCUAAUACCGGAUAGGAGCUCCUGCUGCAUGGUGGGGGUUGGAAAGUUUCGGCGGUUGGGGAUGGACUCGCGGCUUAUCAGCUUGUUGGUGGGGUAGUGGCUUACCAAGGCUUUGACGGGUAGCCGGCCUGAGAGGGUGACCGGCCAGAUUGGGACUGAGAUACGGCCCAGACUCCUACGGGGGGCAGCAGUGGGGAAUAGUGCACAAUGGGCGGAAGCCGGAUGCAGCAACGCCGCGUGCGGGAUGACGGCCUUCGGGUUGUAAACCGCUUUCGCCUGUGACGAAGCGUGAGUGACGGUAAUGGGUAAAGAAGCACCGGCUAACUACGUG